GUAAUAAUGUUUGAGUCUAAGUUUUCAUUUCUUAAAUAUUUUAUAUGUAAUCAUUCUCAGUAAAUAUGAAAGCUGUCAUAGCUUUUGUAAAGCAGAUACAAUUCUAUCUAACUUACAUACUGUUUUGAAAAAUGUAUGUUUGAUAUACAUGUGAUUCAUAAUCUAUACACCAAGCUCCUUAAAGCUACAUGCCUCCAGAUGAGUCAAAAUAUUUCAAUGAUAUCAAACUUGAGGAAAAUGUACUAAGCUGUAAGGAAAAGUAAAAAGUUUCAAGAUUCAAGUAAUAAUUUACAUAUUGUGUGUGAUUAAUGACUGAUUGUUUAGUAUAAACAACUUUUUGCUACUGUGUUACUAAUGCAGUGAAGGUUAUUUAUGCAUAUUUUGACAGCUUUUGGUAAUUAACAUGGUUUGUAAGUGCCAUUGAUAAUUUGUAAAUUGCUUUCUUUUGGUUACUACACAAUAUUACACAUACAAAUACAUUUUCAAAAUUUUCAUGAAAAUUAGCAUGAAUCUGAAGGCGUGCUGCUUUAAAGUGAAUAAAUUUAAGCCAUUAUCUGAUAAAAAUUAUAUAGAAAUUUAAAAACAAUGAAAUUAUGUUGUUUUCAUUAACAUAUCAAGCGGGCCCUUCUUUUCCUACUUUUUUUGAUUGACCCCUACUUUUCCCUACUUUUUUCUUGAAAUGCCCUACUAUCCCUACUUUUUUAAGAAAAAAGCUCGAGGAUAAUUAAAAAAAUCCAUAAGUAGUAGAUUGAUUUUGAUAUAAUCUUUAUCUCAAAUUUAAUAAGAAUCAGAUGCUAGUUUAAUUGUAGGAAAAAAUUGAUGGAAGUAGGUCAUCAGUGGUGCAAGAGGGGUUCCAUGAUGAGGAUGGUUGGAGCUGACAUGGCAGAAUCAGUGACUUUAGGUUCAUGUCCAGAGUCAUCCUGUUGUGGAAUCCCUAUUGAGACACUGGUGACUGGUUUCCUAAAUGAAGAAAAUGCCAUGGAUAUUAGUUGAUAAGGGUCUGUAUUUGUUUUUGCAUCAACUUUGGAAAAAAGGUGAGUAGAGAGUCCUACUUUCCCUACUUUUAGGCUCUGAAAUCCCUACUUUUCCCUACUUUUUUACAAAAAAAAUCCUACUUUUAUCCCUACUUUUUUGUUAUUGGCCACUUGAAAGCCUGCAUAUGGUAA